GACGAAGGUGGCGAGCGUUGUUCGGAAUCACUGGGCAUAAAGCGCACGUAGGCGGUGUCGUAAGUCGGGUGUGAAAUCCCUCGGCCUAACCGAGGAACUGCGCCCGAUACUGCGAUGCUUGAGGACCAGAGGGGUGCAUGGAAUUUCCGGUGGAGCGGUGAAAUGCGUUGAUAUCGGAAGGAACGCCGGCGGCGAAAGCGGCGCACUGGACCUUUUCUGACGCUGAGGCGCGAAAGCUAGGGGAGCAAACGGG
rnacentral:rRNA from 1 species